rnacentral:rRNA from 1 species
GUGCCAGCAGCCGCGGUAAUACGUAGGUGGCAAGCGUUGUCCGGAAUUAUUGGGCGUAAAGCGCGCGCAGGUGGGAUCUUAAGUCCAUUUUGAAAGUUCGGAGCUCAACUCCGUGAUGGGAUAGAAACUGGGAUUCUUGAGUAUCGGAGAGGAAAGCGGAAUUCCCCGUGUAGCGGUGAAAUGCGUAGAUAUGGGGAGGAACACCAGUGGCGAAGGCGGCUUUCUGGACGAUGUCUGACACUGAGGCGCGAAAGCCAGGGGAGCGAACGGGAUUAGAUACCCCGGUAGUCCUGGCCGUAAACGAUGGGUACUAGGUGUGGGGGGUGUCAACUCCUCCCGUGCCGGCGCUAACGCAAUAAGUACCCCGCCUGGGGAGUUCGGCCGCAAGGUUGAAACUUAAAUAAAUUGACGG